rnacentral:tRNA from 1 species
GUGGCCGUGCGCGACGAGGUCGACCGCAGCGUCAUCGUGCUGCGCGGCGACGGCCUGUUCGAAUCGGGCGCGGCCGUG